UACGUAGGUGGCAAGCGUUAUCCGGAAUUAUUGGGCGUAAAGCGCGCGCAGGUGGUUUCUUAAGUCUGAUGUGAAAGCCCACGGCUCAACCGUGGAGGGUCAUUGGAAACUGGGAGACUUGAGUGCAGAAGAGGAAAGUGGAAUUCCAUGUGUAGCGGUGAAAUGCGUAGAGAUAUGGAGGAACACCAGUGGCGAAGGCGACUCUUUGGUCUGUAACUGACGCUGAGGCGCGAAAGCGUGGGGAGCAAACAGG
rnacentral:rRNA from 1 species